rnacentral:rRNA from 1 species
UACGGAGGGUGCGAGCGUUGUCCGGAAUCACUGGGCGUAAAGGGCGCGUAGGCGGCCUGAUAAGUAGGGGGUGAAAUCCUGCGGCUUAACCGCAGGGCUGCCUUCUAAACUGUCAGGCUGGAGCACAGUAGAGGCAGGUGGAAUUCCCGGUGUAGCGGUGGAAUGCGUAGAGAUCGGGAAGAACAUCGGUGGCGAAGGCGGCCUGCUGGGCUGUUGCUGACGCUGAGGCGCGACAGCGUGGGGAGCAAACAGG